rnacentral:lncRNA from 1 species
UGCUUGUUUUAGCCAUUUUCUUUCUCUCGAGUCUCUUCUGUAUGCUAUAAAUUCUGAGUGGAUAGGAAGAUCAUAUAUAGGGUAAAUGCCAAGUGGUGCUCACAUAUUACCAGAUAAGGGAAAGGGACAAAAACUAUUGAUUAGAAAGUAUUAGAGCAUGAUUAAUAGAUGGUUCUUAGGGUGGAAUUCUUAGCGGAAUAUAAAAAACUAUUUUUUAACUUUUAAUGAAGAAAUUAAAAAUCGAUUCUUAAAUAAAAUAUUUAAGAGAAGGUUUUUUAUAUUUCGCUAAGAGCUCUAUCAUAAGAACCCUCCAUUAAUCAUGCUCUUAGUAAAUUUUAUUUAAGAGACGGUUCUUAACUUUUUUAGUUAAAAGUGAAAAUACAAUUUUUUAUAUUCUACUAAGAACUAUAUCUUAAAAACUCCCAUUAAUCAUG